AAUUGGAAGGGUUGGUAUUUAUUAGAUAAAGAACCAAUAUUUUUGGUGACUCAUAAUAACUUUACGGAUCACAUUAUGUGACAUAUCAUUCAAGUUUCUGACCUAUCAGCUUUAGACGGUAGGGUAUUGGCCUACCGUGGCUAUGACGGGUAACGGGGAAUUAGGGUUCGAUUCCGGAGAGGGAGCCUGAGAAACGGCUACCACAUCUAAGGAAGGCAGCAGGCGCGCAAAUUACCCAAUCCUAAUACAGGGAGGUAGUGACAAGAAAUAACAAUACAGGACCUUACGGUUUUGUAAUUGGAAUGAGUUAAGUAUAAACCCCUUAACAAGUAUCAAUUGGAGGGCAAGUCUGGUGCCAGCAGCCGCGGUAAUUCCAGCUCCAAUAGCGUAUAUUAAAGUUGUUGCAGUUAAAAAGCUCGUAGUUAAUUUUCUGUUAAUUUUUAUAUACAAUACUACGGUAUUUAUAUAAUAUUAACAUAAUUCAUAUUACUUUUUAGUAUAUGAAACUUUACUUUGAGAAAAUUAGAGUGCUUAAAGCAGGCUAUUGCCUUGAAUACUCCAGCAUGGAAUAAUAUUAAGGAUUUUUAUUCUUCUUAUUGGUUCUAGAAUAAAAAUAAUGAUUAAUAGGGACAGUUGGGGGCAUUUGUAUUUAACAGUCAGAGGUGAAAUUCUUAGAUUUGUUAAAGACAAACUACUGCGAAAGCAUUUGCCAAGGAUGUUUUCAUUAAUCAAGAACGAAAGUUAGGGGAUCGAAGACGAUCAGAUACCGUCGUAGUCUUAACCAUAAACUAUGCCAACUAGAGAUUGGAGGUUGUUCCUUACUCCUUCAG
rnacentral:rRNA from 1 species